AUUGAACGCUGGCGGCAGGCCUAACACAUGCAAGUCGAGCGGAUGCAGGGAGCUUGCUCCUGGAUUCAGCGGCGGACGGGUGAGUAAUGCCUAGGAAUCUGCCUGGUAGUGGGGGAUAACGCCCGGAAACGGGCGCUAAUACCGCAUACGUCCUGAGGGAGAAAGUGGGGGAUCUUCGGACCUCACGCUAUCAGAUGAGCCUAGGUCGGAUUAGCUAGUUGGUGGGGUAAAGGCCUACCAAGGCGACGAUCCGUAACUGGUCUGAGAGGAUGAUCAGUCACACUGGAACUGAGACACGGUCCAGGCUCCUACGGGAGGCAGCAGUGGGGAAUAUUGGACAAUGGGCGAAAGCCUGAUCCAGCCAUGCCGCGUGUGUGAAGAAGGUCUUCGGAUUGUAAAGCACUUUAAGUUGGGAGGAAGGGCAGUAAGUUAAUACCUUGCUGUUUUGACGUUACCAACAGAAUAAGCACCGGCUAACUUCGUG
rnacentral:rRNA from 1 species